AUUGAACGCUAGCGGCAUGCUUUACACAUGCAAGUCGAACGAGUGGAGGACGGGUGAGUACUAUAUAGGAACGUGCCCAAUAGCGGGGGAUAACUACUGGAAACAUUGUCUAAUACCGCAUACUCUCGGCGCUGCCGAUAUCGGAUUAGCUAGUUGGUGGGGUAACGGCUCACCAAGGCAACGAUCCGUAGCUGGUUUGAGAGGACGACCAGCCACACUGGGACUGAGACACGGUCCAGACUCCUACGUGAGGCAGCAGUGGGGAAUAUUGGACAAUGGGGGAAACCCUGAUCCAGCCAUCCCGCGUGUAUGAGAAGGCCUUCGGGUUGUAAAGUACUUUUGGCAGAGAAGCGGUAUCUGCAGAAUAAGCACCGGCUAACUACGUGCCAGCAGCCGCGGUAAUUC
rnacentral:rRNA from 1 species